AAAGGCAGACACUUAAUGCCUGAGCCACCCAGGUGCCCCCCCCACCCCCUUUUCUGUAUAUUCACCCCAGCCUCACUGAAUCACCACUGGUGGGAAGGGAAGCUCCGCAGACACAGGCCAGCAAGGACCUGCUGAAUGACAGUGGAGGAGAUUCACAGGGAGAAAGUGGCCAUGGACCUGAUUUCAAGCUUUUCCAUGGAAACCUGGCUCCUCCUGGCUACCAGCCUGGUGCUCCUCUAUCUAUAUGGGACCUACACACAUGGACUUUUUAAAAAGCUGGGAAUUCCUGGGCCAACACCUCUGCCUUUUGUGGGAACUGUUCUGGCCUACCGAAAUGGUUUUUGUGAUUUUGAUGAGAAAUGUUUUAAAAAGUAUGGAAGAAUGUGGGGGUGAGUAUUCU